GAGGAACGUGGAGAGGAAGGGCAGCACGCACAGGGUGUGCAGAAACUCUACAGCGGGGAGCACGAACACAGACGUCUGAGUGGGAGACACUCACGGGAGUCUUGGGGAGCAACAGGGAUGAAUGGCUGCCUCCUGGCUGCAUGCCAAAUAUCCUUGGGCAAGAUACUAACCCCAUGUUGCCUACUGGUGAUGGUCAGAGGUGGCCAGUGCACCACCGAGCCAGUCCAUCCUGGACUUUCUGCUUUCUACCCUCCACUUCCACUCUCCUACUCAGGCUGCUCACUGGCCCGGGCAGCCGGUGGAUUCACAGCCUGACACGCCGGCCCCGACGUCUACACGCCGCCUGCGCUCCUCAUCACAGCCGGAUUCCUGGACAUCUCAAGAGCCGGCUGGGCCGCCAUUCUGCCAUCAUCUUCACCACCUGCUACGUCGCUACCCGGACCUGCUCAGCCUGGAGCUCAGCGAGCCGAGGCCAGAGCCUCCGCCGGAGGUGGAGCUCAGCGAGCCGGAGCAGGAGCUCAGCGAGCGGGAGGAGCCUGCACCGCCACCAGAGGAGCUCAGCGAGCAGGAGGAGUCCGCGCUGCCCGCGCAAGACCUCGGAGAGCUGGAGGGGCCAGCACGUCCGCGACCCGCCCGGCCAGCACGUCCACGAACGGCACGUCCGCAACCAGCACAUCGUAGAUCAGGUGCCACAUCUCGUGGUCGCUCGUCGGAGCUACGCCGCAGGCCGCUGGAGGAGCAGCGCCGCCACUGGACCCGGGGCAGGCCGCCGGAGAUGCAGCGCCGCCACCGCCACUGGACCCGGGGCACACUGUAAAAUCUAAUUAGUUCACAGAACUCAAAACUAUGUAAACUCGUUGCCUCAAAAAAAAAAAGUAAAGCUUACUUAAGAUGACUGUUAGGACAACUUAUUCAUUGCAAGUCUGCAGUAUUAAGAAUAACUUGAUAUUUCCAACUGUACAAUACUAAUUGUUUACCUACUG
ensembl:lncRNA